rnacentral:rRNA from 1 species
UUUUUAACAUUAGAUUGCAAAGGGCUCAUUAUAACAGUUCUGGUAAAUUUGAGGUUAUUUUAUAGGUGGAUACUUAUGAUAAAUUUAUGAAAAAUACAUGUACUUAAAAUAUUUUUUUAUUUGGCAUUUAUAAGAAAUUAAACCAAAAUGUUUUAUCAUUGUGGAUGAUUCAUAGUAAUGUUUGGAGAACGCUUUGAUAUGCGUCAUAUCUUCACGGUUUCUGACCUAUCAGUUAGUCAGUAAUGUAUUGGACUACUGAAGCGUUGACGGGUAACAGAGAAUUAGGGUUCUGUUCCGGAGAGGGAGCCUGAGAAACAGCUACUACAUCUAAGGAAGGCAGCAGGCGCGUAAAUUACCCAAUUCUGAUAAAGAGAGGUAGUGAUAAGAAAUCACAAUAUUUUGCCUUAGGGUUAAGUAAUUGAAUUGAGAACACAGCAGCCAUAUUAUCGAUAAACUAUUGGAGGGCAAGUCUGGUGCCAGCAGUCGCGGUAAUUCCAGCUCCAAUGGUGUAUGCUAAUAUUGUUGCAGUUAAAAAGCUCGUAGUCGAAUUUGUAAGAAAAUUAAUUUUAUGUAAUCGUAAUGAAUAACAAAAAAAGAAGAUAUAUCUUAUUUUAUGCUUAUGCACCGUUGGAAUUCAUUUUUUGAUGGUGGACUAAAUAUGUGUUUACUUUGAAAAAAUUAGAGUGUUUAAAACAGUCUUUGCGGCUUUAUAUUAAAGCAUGGAAUGAUAAAUAAUGACAUCGGUUAAUUUUUGUUGGGAUGAGAGGCUGAUGUAAUGAUAUAUAGAGUUAGUCGGAGGUAUUAGUAUUCUAUCGUUAGAAGUGAAAUUCUCGGAUCGUUAAAAGACUAACAACUGCAAAAGCAUUUGCCUAGAAUUUGCUCAUUGAUCAAGAACGUAAGUUGAGGGAUCGAAGACGAUCAGAUACCGUCGUAGUCUCAACUUUAAACUAUACCGGCUAGGGAUUGGCAAAUGUUUAUAUGACAUUGUUAGAACCUUUGGAGAAAUCAAAGCGUUUGGGUUCCGGGGGAAGUAUGGUCGCAAGGUUGAAACUUAAAGGAAUUGACGGAAGGGCACCACAAGAUGUGGAUCCUGUGGCUUAAUUUGACUCAACACUGGAAAACUUACCAGGUCCAGACAUAGGUAGGAUUGACAGAUUGAUAGUUUUUUCUUGAUUCUAUGGGUGGUGGUGCAUGGCCGUUCUUAGUUGGUGGAGUGAUUUGUCUGGUUAAUUCCGUUAACGAACGAGACUUCCACAUGAUAAAUAGCACAAUUUUUUGAAAAGAA